GCUCCAUAGGGCAGGAUGCCGGAUAACGUCCGGUGGAGGCGACUCCAAGGCCAGUGCAACAGAAAUGAUACCGCCCGGAAUAUCGUUAGGCGAUGUACGAAGCCGUGUAACGGCUUCAGGCGUUUCGCGUAGCGAUACGCCGGGUAAGGGUGGAAUGGCAGUGUAAGAGACUACCGCCGUCACGGUAACGGGACGGGCUGUGUAAACCCCAUCCGGAGCAAGACCAAACAGAGAGCGACAGGCCGGCCCGGCCUGCUUUCAGGUAGGUCGCUGGAGGACUUCGGCAACGAAGUUCCUAGAUAGAUGAUCAUUCGAGACAUAACCCGGCUUACCGUUCCGCUUAUUUU
rnacentral:RNase_P_RNA from 1 species